UUAAAGGAAUUGACGGAAGGGCACCACCAGAAGUGGAGCCUGCGGCUUAAUUUGACUCAACACGGGAAAACUUACCCGGCCCGGACACCGGAAGGAUUGACAGAUUAAUAGCUCUUUCUUGAUUCGGUGGGUGGUGGUGCAUGGCCGUUCUUAGUUGGUGGAGUGAUUUGUCUGGUUAAUUCCGAUAACGAACGAGACUCUAGCCUACUAAAUAGACCCACGAUCCUUGGUAUCGUGUGCGGGUCUUCUUAGAGGGACAGGCGGCUCUUAGCCGCACGAAACAGAGCAAUAACAGGUCUGUGAUGCCCUUAGAUGUCCGGGGCCGCACGCGCGCUACACUGAAGGAAUCAGCAUGUGUCUACCCUAGUCCGAGAGGACCGGGUAACCCUGUGAACCUCCUUCGUGAUAGGGAUAGGGGAUUGUAAUUAUUCCCCUCGAACGAGGAAUUCCCAGUAAGCGCGAGUCAUCAGCUCGCGUUGAUUACGUCCCUGCCCUUUGUACACACCGCCCGUCGCUACUACCGAUUGAAUGAUUUAGUGAGGUCUUCGGACUGGAGCAACGAGCGGCUCCGGCCGCUCUCUGCACCGGGAAGAUGACCAAACUUGAUCAUUUAGAGGAAGUAAAAGUCGUAACAAGGUUGCC
rnacentral:rRNA from 1 species